rnacentral:tRNA from 1 species
GGCCCUAGCAGAGUGGUAAGGCUAGGCUUGUUGCACGAGUGGGUUCUGGGAUCGAAUCCCAGGGUGCCC